AGUACCAUGGAGGCCCCUGUAUUGAGAGUCGGAUUGCUUAUUGCCCCUUCUACUCAAAAAAUGGGCAAAUUAGUUCCUGUACGUAAGGUCAAAGAGCAAGCUAGUCUUUCUGUUAAAAAUUACAUCCAGUUUUACAGUUAAAAACUGGUCCCUAUAUGUCAGCGUAAAGUAUACGUGGUAUGCCAAAUGUAACAGUUUAGUUAUUUUGUCAGCCAUAUCAAUUUUUAACAAUAGAAAUGAAAGAAAUUUUUAACAGAAAGAACCAAUUUUCUCUUUGAUCUCACUUAAAAGGAUUGAUUUAGCUAUUUUUUAAGUAAAGAGGGCAAAAUGCAAUCUGACUCUUAGUACAUGGGUCUCCAUGAUACUU
rnacentral:pre_miRNA from 1 species